UCGAUUCAGAGGGGGGAGGAGGGGGAGUGGGAGUGUUGUGUUGUGUUGUGUGUUUCAAGACGAGGGUGGUGGACUGUGUUUGACUGUUGCUCACUUCUGACUUCUUUGUGAUUGGUGAUUCAUUUCUUGGGCCGUUGUUAUCCAUCAGACGACGUCGUGGACCCUGCUCGCAGUUUGAAGCCUCCGUGCGCCAGCGAGAUUGUGACCCAACGCCGCCGUCUUCGCAAUCGCCCUGAUCCCCUGGACCACCUCUCUCAAGGCUCCAGGAGGACCGAGCAGCUCCAGGAGUGCCCCUACCCCAUCUGGAAGCAGGCUUAACUCUCCGGCAGAUCGUAAAUACAGCGAGUCUAUUUGCUCUCCCACUAUGCCUAUGCCUGCAAAGAAUUUCGAUUGUACUCUCUGCAACAAAAAGUUUUCUCGGAGUCACAACCUAGGUGUCCAUCUGCGAAACCACGCAGGAGAAACUCCUUUCGCAUGUACUAUCUGCAACAAGAAAUUUUCGGAGAGUGGGAGUCUGCUUGUACAUCUGCGAACCCAUACAGAAGAAACUCCUUUCGAAUGUACUCUCUGCAACAAGAAGUUUUCUAAAAGUGGGAGUCUGCGUAGAC